UACGAAGGGGGCUAGCGUUGCUCGGAAUCACUGGGCGUAAAGCGCACGUAGGCGGACUCUUAAGUCGGUGGUGAAAUCCUGGAGCUCAACUCCAGAACUGCCUUUGAUACUGAGGAUCUUGAGUACGGGAGAGGUGAGUGGAACUGCGAGUGUAGAGGUGAAAUUCGUAGAUAUUCGCAAGAACACCAGUGGCGAAGGCGGCUCACUGGCCCGUUACUGACGCUGAGGCACGAAAGCGUUGGGGAGCAAACAGGGAUUA
rnacentral:rRNA from 1 species